rnacentral:rRNA from 1 species
UACGUAGGGUGCAAGCGUUGUCCGGAAUUAUUGGGCGUAAAGAGCUCGUAGGCGGUCUGUCGCGUCGGCUGUGAAAACCCGAGGCUCAACCUCGGGCCUGCAGUCGAUACGGGCAAACUAGAGUACUGCAGGGGAGACUGGAAUUCCUGGUGUAGCGGUGAAAUGCGCAGAUAUCGGGAGGAACACCUAUGGCGAAGGCAGCUCGCUGGGACGUUACUGACGCUGAGACGCGAAAGCGUGGGGAGCAAACAGG